rnacentral:rRNA from 1 species
GACGACCGCUGGCGGCAGGCCUAACACCUGCAAGUCGAGCGGAGCGGAGGACGGGUGAGUAAUGCCUAGGAAUCAGCAUGGUAGUGGGGGAUAACGUCCGGAAACGGGCGACAAUACCGCAUCCUAUCAGGUUAGCCUAGGUCGGAUGAGAUAGUUGGCGGGGUAAAGGCCUACCAAGGCGACGAUCCGUAACUGGGCUGAGAGGAUGAUCAGUCACACUGGAACUGAGACACGGCCCAGACUCCUACGGGAGGCAGCAGUAGGGAAUAUUGCACAAUGGGCGCAAGCCUGAUUCAGCCAUGCCGCGUGUAUGAAGAAGGCCUUCGGGUUGUAAAGUACUUUCAGUCGGGAGGCGUUACCGACAGAAGAAGCACCGGCUAACUCCGUGCCAGCAGCCGCGGUAAUUC